rnacentral:rRNA from 1 species
UACGUAGGGUGCAAGCGUUGUCCGGAAUUAUUGGGCGUAAAGAGCUCGUAGGCGGUCUGUUGCGUCGGCUGUGAAAACCCGGGGCUCAACUCCGGGCCUGCAGCCGAUACGGGCAGACUAGAGUUCGGCAGGGGAGAGUGGAAUUCCUGGUGUAGCGGUGAAAUGCGCAGAUAUCAGGAAGAACACCUGUGGCGAAGGCGGCCCCCUGGUUGGAUACUGACGCUGAGACGCGAAAGCGUGGGGAGCAAACAGG